GUUAACAAGUGACAACAACAACAAAAAUUAUUGAGAAGAAGAAAAGAAAAAUGACUCACAAGCUUGUCUUCUUAGUCGUACUCAUUGCACUUUGUUUUGCUUUACGUGAUGCAAGAGAGAUGCCUAAUGAGACAACGGUGCCGUCGGAACCUGGUUAUCCCCCGCCUGGUCAUGGGCGUCCUUCGCAGCCUGGUCAUGGGCGGCCGUCGCCACCACCAAUACAGGAUGAUAAGACAGAGAUACACAAGGGGAACCGGCCGUCGCCUCCACCAUUAAUGAUGUAAAAGAAUUGACAAAAGUAAACUGAUUCGUCAAAUGUCUUCCAGGAAAUUUAUCUAUAUCACUUGAAAUAAAAAGAGUUACGUACUUAAAACUUA